rnacentral:rRNA from 1 species
CAGCAGCCGCGGGAAUACGUAGGGGGCAAGCGUUAUCCGGAAUAACUGGGCGUAAAGGGUGCGCAGGUGGUUUAACAAGUUAGUGGUGAAAGGCAUAGGCUCAACCAAUGUAAGCCAUUAAAACUGUUUAACUUGAGUGCAGGAGAGGAAAGUGGAAUUCCUAGUGUAGCGGUGAAAUGCGUAGAUAUUAGGAGGAAUACCAGUGGCGAAGGCGACUUUCUGGACUGCAACUGACACUGAGGCACGAAAGCGUGGGGAGCAAACAGGAUUAGAUACCCCAGUAGUCCCUGUCUCUUAUACA